GAUGAAGAACGUAGCGAAAUGCGAAAAGUAAUGUGAAUUGCAGAAUUCAGUGAAUCAUCGAAUCUUUGAACGCACAUUGCGCCCGCUGGUACUCCGGCGGGCACGCCUGUCCGAGCGUCAUUUCAACCCUCAAGCCCUCCUUCGGGAUGGGCCUGGUGUUGGGGCUCGGCCGCCAUCUCCGGCGGCCGUCCCCUAAAUACAGUGGCGGUCACGUCGCGACUCCUUUGCGUAGUAGAAACACCUCGCUCCGGAUAGCAACGCGGUCCACGCCGUAAAACCCCCAAUUUUCAAUGGUUGACCUCGGAUCAGGUGGGAAUACCCGCUGUACUUAAGCAUAUCAAUAAGCGGAGGA
rnacentral:misc_RNA from 1 species